UUUAAAAGACAAUGUGUUCCAGAGCCUCAACCUGGACCUGGACCCGAACCUGGACCCAGCUGUGUGUCCAUGAAGAGUGAUGACUCCAUGCAUCAACCUAUAUAUUUUAAAACAGGACGUGUUCCAGAUCCUCAAGUGGAGCAGCAGAGCUCAGAGGUUCCCACUGGUCUACAGGA